rnacentral:rRNA from 1 species
GUGCGAAGGUAGCGCAAUCACUUGUCUUUUAAAUGGAGACCUGUAUGAAUGGCAUAACGAGGGCUUAACUGUCUCCUCUUUCAAGUCAAUGAAAUUGAUCUCCCCGUGCAGAAGCGGGGAUAAAACCAUAAGACGAGAAGACCCUAUGGAGCUUUAGACACCAAGGCGGCCCACAGUUAAUGACACCAAAACAAAGGACCAAACAACACAACACUCCGCCCUAAUGUCUUUGGUUGGGGCGACCGCGGGGUAGUACAAAACUCCCGCGUGGAACGAGAGGACUUCCCUCUUACAGCUAAGAGCUACCGCUCUAAGAAACAGAAUUUCUGACCUAUUAGAUCCGGCUUACGCCGAUCAACGGAACGAGUUACCCUAGGGAUAACAGCGCAAUCCCCUUUUAGAGCCCAUAUCGACAAGGGGGUUUACGACCUCGAUGUUGGAUCAGGACAUCCUAAUGGUGCAGCCGCU